rnacentral:rRNA from 1 species
UACGGAGGGUGCAAGCGUUAUCCGGAUUCACUGGGUUUAAAGGGUGCGUAGGUGGGUCUGUAAGUCCGUGGUGAAAUCUCCGGGCUUAACCCGGAAACUGCCAUUGAUACUAUUUGUCUUGAAUACUGUGGAGGUCAGCGGAAUAUGUCAUGUAGCGGUGAAAUGCUUAGAUAUGACAUAGAACACCAAUUGCGAAGGCAGCUGGCUACACAAAUAUUGACACUGAGGCACGAAAGCGUGGGGAUCAAACAGG